ACGAAAUGACGCCGCCACAUGUACGCUAAAGCAAAGCACGUAGACCAAAGCAGACUCCGCAUCGUCAUUGGCCAACAAAAACAUUGGCCAUGAUCUUGGAUACGAAAAACACGUUCUCAAAAUUUGAGACGGGAGGAGAUCGAUACGAGUUGAGCCGAAAGGACACUGACCUAAUUGUCGACUUUGUGUGCUAUUUUAUGAGUAUAAGCAAAUGUUACUCUUUGAUCACUGAUAAUUCCGUAGUGUCUAAUCGAUGGAUACAUCUUCAAAAUAUACUCUAGAUAAUCUAACCACUUCGUUUAUUUUUAUCUUUAUGUUAUAUCUGUAUGCUAUAUAUAUAUAUAUAAAUGUAAUUAUAAAAUUUAUUGAACUUGAAAAGAACA